rnacentral:rRNA from 1 species
UACGGGGGGGAGCAAGCGUUGUUCGGAUUUACUGGGCGUAAAGGGCGCGUAGGCGGCCACCGCAAGUCGGUUGUGAAAUCUCCGGGCUUAACCCGGAAAGGUCAAUCGAUACUGCGGGGCUAGAGUGCAGAAGGGGCAACUGGAAUUCUCGGUGUAGCGGUGAAAUGCGUAGAUAUCGAGAGGAACACCUGCGGCGAAGGCGACAUCCUGGACCGGCAUUGACGCUGAGGCGCGAAAGCUAGGGGAGCAAACGGG